CUGUCCGCCUAUGCGCGCGCCCAUGUCUGUGCCGUGAGGCCCGGAGCAGGGUAAGCUGCAGGUACUCCGCUUGUGACCGGUAACCAUGGAGAUGGAGUGCUGAGGCCCGCGUGGGCGUGACCGGCAUGGGCGGGACCAACGCAGGGAGGCGGAGCUGGGCCCCAACUGCAGAUUUUCCCGUGAGGCAGAAUUGUCAGUUACAGACUUCAACAGAAGAACUCUCAAAAGGAAAGAAUCAUCAAUUACAGGCCCCAACAGAGAAAGAUGUAUAUUGCAGCCUGUAAGAAAUGGACUACCUCUAAACUCGUGCUUUUCUCCAAUGAACUCUUAUUCAAAACAGUCCCUCCCAACUUCCUCCUUCCUCCUGCAAUUAAAUAAUGUUCCUUUGCAUUGUUUGUUUUGCUUAACUGUCUUAACCCAAAUUGCAGUCAUCUGUUAUUCCUGAAUAAACUCAUUUUGCUAGUGAA